AGUGAACGCUGGCGGUAGGCCUAACACAUGCAAGUCGAACGGCAGCACAGUAAGAGCUUGCUCUUACGGGUGGCGAGUGGCGGACGGGUGAGGAAUACAUCGGAAUCUACUUUUUCGUGGGGGAUAACGUAGGGAAACUUACGCUAAUAUCGCAUACGACCUACGGGUGAAAGCAGGGGAUCUUCGGACCUUGCGCGAUUGAAUGAGCCGAUGUCGGAUUAGCUAGUUGGCGGGGUAAAGGCCCACCAAGGCGACGAUCCGUAGCUGGUCUGAGAGGAUGAUCAGCCACACUGGAACUGAGACACGGUCCAGACUCCUACGGGAGGCAGCAGUGGGGAAUAUUGGACAAUGGGCGCAAGCCUGAUCCAGCCAGCCCGCGUGGGUGAAGAAGGCCUUCGGGUUGUAAAGCCCUUUUGUUGGGAAAGAAAAGCAGCAGGUUAAUACCCCGCUGUUCUGACGGUACCCAAAGAAUAAGCACCGGCUAACUUCGUG
rnacentral:rRNA from 1 species